AAAUUGAAGAGUUUGAUCAUGGCUCAGAUUGAACGCUGGCGGCAGGCCUAACACAUGCAAGUCGAACGGUAGCACAGAGAGCUUGCUCUCGGGUGACGAGUGGCGGACGGGUGAGUAAUGUCUGGGAAACUGCCUGAUGGAGGGGGAUAACUACUGGAAACGGUGGCUAAUACCGCAUAACGUCGCAAGACCAAAGAGGGGGACCUUCGGGCCUCUUGCCAUCAGAUGUGCCCAGAUGGGAUUAGCUGGUUGGUGAGGUAACGGCUCACCAAGGCGACGAUCCCUAGCUGGUCUGAGAGGAUGACCAGCCACACUGGAACUGAGAC
rnacentral:rRNA from 1 species